CAAUUAUCAGCAACAAAAACUGGCUCAGACUGCAUUUUGUUACAGACAGCAAUCACCGAUUUCGUGGAUUUAGUGCUCCAUAUCAAGGUUCUUCUACAUUGACCCACACUACCUCCACUGGUGAGUUAGAGGAGCAUAACAGGACUACCACUGGUGCUAUUGCUGUUGCUAGGACACCUGCAGAUGUUACUGUAUCCAGUGUUACAGCUGUCACCAUCCAUAGACUUGCCGAGGAACAGCGAGUGCAAGUUACGAAUCUCAGAAAUUCAGGUCUGGACCCCAACACGUCCAAGGACGGGCUCACUCCUCAUGAAGCAGAUACACAAAGUACAAGGAGAAGACCAAGAAAUGCUGAACAGAUAGAAAGAACUAAAGAGCUUGCAGUUGUUACUCAUAGAGUGAAAAAGGCCAUAGAUUUUAAAUCUAGAGGAUUUAAAUUGUUUCCAGGGAAAGACAACAGCAACAAGUUUUCUAUCUUAAAUGAGGGAGGUAUUAAAACAGCUUCCAAUUUAUGUCCAGAUCCAGGAGAACCAGAAAAUGGGAAGAGACUUGGAUCAGAUUUU